rnacentral:rRNA from 1 species
GACGAACGCUGGCGGCGUGCUUAACACAUGCAAGUCGAACGGUGAAGCGCCUUCCUUUUUGGUGGGUGUGGAUGAGUGGCGAACGGGUGAGUAACACGUGAGUAACCUGCCCCCUUCUUCUGGAUAACCGCAUGAAAGUGUGGCUAAUACGGGAUAUUCUGGGUCUGUCGCAUGAUGGGUCUGGGAAAGAUAUUGUUUCGGUGGGGGAUGGGCUCGCGGCCUAUCAGCUUGUUGGUGGGGUGAUGGCCUACCAAGGCGGUGACGGGUAGCCGGCCUGGGAGGGUGGCCGGUCAUGCUGGGGCUGAGACCCGGCCCAGACUCCUACGGGAGGCAGCAGUGGGGAGUAUUGCACAAUGGGCGCAAGCCUGAUGCAGCGACGCCGCGUGAGGGAUGGAGGCCUUCGGGUUGUGAACCUCUUUCGCCAGUGAAGCAGGCCUGCCUCGUUUGUGGGUGGGUUGACGGUAGCUGGAUAAGAAGCGCCGGCUAACUACGUG